UACAGAGGGUGCAAGCAUUAUUCGGAAUUAUUGGGCGUAAAGGGCGCGUAGGCGGCUUGGCAAGUGGAUGGUGAAAUCCCUCGGCUUAACCGAGGAACUGCCGUCCAAACUGCUUCGCUUGAGACCGGGAGAGGUGAGUGGAAUUCCCAGUGUAGCGGUGAAAUGCGUAGAUAUUGGGAGGAACACCAGUGGCGAAGGCGGCUCACUGGACCGGUACUGACGCUGAUGCGCGAAAGCGUGGGGAGCGAACCGG
rnacentral:rRNA from 1 species